CCUACGGGUGGCAGCAGUGAGGAAUAUUGGUCAAUGGACGAGAGUCUGAACCAGCCAAGUAGCGUGAAGGAUGACUGCCCUAUGGGUUGUAAACUUCUUUUAUAUGGGAAUAAAAUGUUCCACGUGUGGGAUUUUGUAUGUACCAUAUGAAUAAGGAUCGGCUAACUCCGUGCCAGCAGCCGCGGUAAUACGGAGGAUCCGAGCGUUAUCCGGAUUUAUUGGGUUUAAAGGGAGCGUAGGUGGAUUGUUAAGUCAGUUGUGAAAGUUUGCGGCUCAACCGUAAAAUUGCAGUUGAAACUGGCAGUCUUGAGAUGUCGAGAGGUAUGCGGAAUGCGCAGUGUAGCGGUGAAAUGCUUAGAUAUUGCGCAGAACUCCGAUUGCGAAGGCAGCAUACCGGCGGCGAUCUGACGCUGAGGCACGAAAGCGUGGGUAUCGAACAGGAUUAGAUACCCCGGUAGUC
rnacentral:rRNA from 1 species